GUGGGGAAUCUUCCGCAAUGGACGAAAGUCUGACGGAGCAACGCCGCGUGAGUGAAGAAGGUUUUCGGAUCGUAAAGCUCUUUCGUUAGGGACGAACGUGCUCUUUGUGAAUAAUGAGGAGUAAUGACGGUACCUAAAUAAGAAGCCACGGCUAACUACGUGCCAGCAGCCGCGGUAAUACGUAGGUGGCAAGCGUUGUCCGGAAUUAUUGGGCGUAAAGCGCGCGCAGGCGGGAUAUCAAGUCUGUCUUAAAAGUGCGAGGCUCAACCUCGUGAGGGGACAGAAACUGGUAUUCUUGAGUGUAGGAGAGGAAAGUGGAAUUCCAAGUGUAGCGGUGAAAUGCGUAGAGAUUUGGAAGAACACCAGUGGCGAAGGCGACUUUCUGGACGAUGUCUGACGCUGAGGCGCGAAAGCUAGGGGAGCGAACGGGAUUAGAAACCCCGGUAGUCC
rnacentral:rRNA from 1 species